rnacentral:rRNA from 1 species
AUACAGGGCAUUUUAUGCUCUGUAAUUGGAAUGAUGGGAAUGUAAAACCCUUCCAGAGUAACAAUUGGAGGGCAAGUCUGGUGCCAGCAGCCGCGGUAAUUCCAGCUCCAAUAGUGUAUAUUAGAGUUGUUGCAGUUAAAAAGCUCGUAGUUGGAUUUCUGCUGUGGUCAUCCGGUACCGCCCGUAUGGGUGCGCACCUGGUUUGGCUGCGGCUUUCUUCCUGUAGCCGUCCGCGCUUAAUUGCGUGUGUUGUGUUACGGAACUUUUACUUUGAGAAAAAUAGAGUGUUUCAAGCAGGCUUGUCGCCCUGAAUACUUCAGCAUGGAAUAAUAGGAUAGGACCUUGGUUCUAUUUUGUUGGUUUCUAGGACCAAGGUAAUGAUUAAUAGGGACAGUUGGGGGCAUUCGUAUUUAACUGUCAGAGGUGAAAUUCUUAGAUUUGUUAAAGACGAACUACUGCGAAAGCAUUUGCCAAGGA